GACGAACGCUGGUGGCGUGCUUAACACAUGCAAGUCGAACGGUGAAGCUCAAGCUUGCUUGGGUGGAUCAGUGGCGAACGGGUGAGUAACACGUGAGCAACCUGCCCCGGACUCUGGAAUAAGCGCUGGAAACGGCGUCUAAUACUGGAUAUGACACCAAUCCGCAUGGGUAUGGUGUGGAAAGUUUUUCGGUCUGGGAUGGGCUCGCGGCCUAUCAGCUUGUUGGUGAGGUAAUGGCUCACCAAGGCGACGACGGGUAGCCGGCCUGAGAGGGCGACCGGCCACACUGGGACUGAGACACGGCCCGGACUCCUACGGGAGGCAGCAGUGGGGAAUAUUGCACAAUGGGCGAAAGCCUGAUGCAGCGACGCCGCGUGAGGGAUGACGGCCUUCGGGUUGUAAACCUCUUUCAGCAGGGAAGAAGCGAAAGUGACGGUACCUGCAGAAGAAGCACCGGCUAACUACGUGCCAGCCGCCGCGGUAACAC
rnacentral:rRNA from 1 species